rnacentral:lncRNA from 1 species
ACCAUUUUAUAUCUGGAAAACCAGCCGACUUAACUGAUAAUAACAAUCCAGAUUUAGUUCCUUCAAUAAAUAUGGGGUAUAUAAACACAAUGAAAUGAGUUCCCCAAAAUCUAAAAUGGGAAUUAAGGUACCAAAGGAGAAUUAAAAGAAAAGGGUACCUACAAGAAAAAAUUGCUUUUUUAUUCCUCUUGAAAUGAUUUAUAAGACACUGGACUGUCUUAUAUUCUACAAAUACUAGAAUCAGCUGAGAGAAGUGGUCUACAAAAACCCAGGAAGGAAACGGAAUAUGUGGCUACGAAAGGCAAAAGAAAGGUUUACAAAGCAAAUGUGACACAUUUUGUUGAAAUAUUUAGGAAUAUCAGUAAAUUGCAUUAAAAAAAUGUAUGAAAAGAUUUUGUUCAAUAAAAAUGUUUAUAUUUA